UACAGAGGUCUCAAGCGUUGUUCGGAUUCAUCGGGCGUAAAGGGUGCGUAGGUGGCGCCGUAAGUCGGGUGUGAAAUUUCGGAGCUUAACUCCGAAACUGCAUUCGAUACUGCGGUGCUUGAGGACUGGAGAGGAGACUGGAAUUCAUGGUGUAGCAGUGAAAUGCGUAGAGAUCAUGAGGAAGACCAGUGGCGAAGGCGGGUCUCUGGACAGUUCCUGACACUGAGGCACGAAGGCCAGGGGAGCAAACGGG
rnacentral:rRNA from 1 species